rnacentral:sRNA from 1 species
UCUUCUCCAACGCCAGA